rnacentral:rRNA from 1 species
CAGCCGCCGCGGUAAUACAGAGGGUGCGAGCGUUAAUCGGAUUUACUGGGCGUAAAGCGUGCGUAGGCGGCUUCUUAAGUCGGAUGUGAAAUCCCUGAGCUUAACUUAGGAAUUGCAUUCGAUACUGGGAAGCUAGAGUAUGGGAGAGGAUGGUAGAAUUCCAGGUGUAGCGGUGAAAUGCGUAGAGAUCUGGAGGAAUACCGAUGGCGAAGGCAGCCAUCUGGCCUAAUACUGACGCUGAGGUACGAAAGCAUGGGGAGCAAACAGGAUUAGAUACCCCGUAGUCCCUGUCUCUUAUACA